AAAACAUGGUUUUAAAAUAUUUAUUUAAAAUUGAGCCUGCCCAUUGAUUUUUUUUUAAAAGGCCGCAGUAUUUUGACUGUGCUAAGGUAGGGUAAUCAUUAGGUUUUUAAUUUAAAUCUUGAAUGAAUGGUUUGAUGAGAUAAAAUCUUUUUUAAUUUAAAAUUAAAAUUUUAUUUUUUAGUUAAAAAGCUAAAAUUUUUUAGAGGGACGAGAAGACCCUAUAGAAUUUUAUAAUAAAUUUUAUAUAAAUUAAUUAAUUUUUUUUAAUUUGGUAUAGAAUAAUUAUUUUAUUGGGGCGAUAUUUAUAUUUAUUUAACUUUAAUUUUUUUUUUCAUUAAUAUAUGUAUUUUUGAUCUUUUUUUAUUGAUUAAAAAAAAAAAUUACCUUAGGGAUAACAGCAUAAUUUUAUUAAGAAGUUCUUAUUUUUAAUAAUGUUUAUGACCUCGAUGUUGGAUUAAAUAAAAUUUUUAUAUGAAGAUAUAUAAAAAAUAA
rnacentral:rRNA from 1 species